rnacentral:ncRNA from 1 species
CAAACUUCGAGUAAUCGAAGGACGGAAAGCCCAAAGGGUCCUAAGGGUCUUUGGUUCCAUGGAUAGCCGGGUUGCCGAA